rnacentral:rRNA from 1 species
CAGUCGCCGCGGGAAUACGGAGGAUCCAAGCGUUAUCCGGAAUCAUUGGGUUUAAAGGGUCCGUAGGCGGUUUAGUAAGUCAGUGGUGAAAGCCCAUCGCUCAACGGUGGAACGGCCAUUGAUACUGCUGAACUUGAAUUAUUAGGAAGUAGCUAGAAUAUGUAGUGUAGCGGUGAAAUGCUUAGAGAUUACAUGGAAUACCAAUUGCGAAGGCAGGUUACUACUAAUUGAUUGACGCUGAUAGACGAAAGCUAGGGGAGCAAAUGGGAUUAGAUACCCGAGUAGUCCCUGUCUCUUAUAC